GGUGCUGCAUGGCUGCCGUCAGCUCGUGUCGUGAGAUGUUGGGUUAAGUCCCGCAACGAGCGCAACCCUCGCCUUUAGUUGCCAUCACGUUUGGGUGGGCACUCUAAAGGAACUGCCGGUGACAAGCCGGAGGAAGGUGGGGAUGACGUCAAGUCCUCAUGGCCCUUAUGUCCUGGGCUACACACGUGCUACAAUGGCGGUGACAGUGGGAAGCCAGGUGGUGACACCGAGCCGAUCUCAAAAAGCCGUCUCAGUUCGGAUUGCACUCUGCAACUCGAGUGCAUGAAGGUGGAAUCGCUAGUAAUCGCGGAUCAGCAUGCCGCGGUGAAUACGUUCCCGGGUCUUGUACACACC
rnacentral:rRNA from 1 species